rnacentral:rRNA from 1 species
AGAGUUUGAUCCUGGCUCAGGAUGAACGCUGGCGGCGUGCUUAAUACAUGCAAGUCGAACGGAGACAUUAUAGCAAUAUGGUGUCUUAGUGGCGAACGGGUGAGUAACGCGUUGGUGACCUGCCCCGAAGAGGGGGAUAACAGCUCGAAAGGGCUGCUAAUACCCCAUGUGAUCGUUAGAGUUAGAGGUCUUGCGAUUAAAGGAGUCGUUCUUUGAACGUUCCGCUUUGGGAGGGGCCUGCGUCCCAUCAGCUAGUUGGUAGGGUAAUGGCCUACCAAGGCGACGACGGGUAGGGGACCUGAGAGGGUGACCCCCCACACUGGCACUGAAACACGGGCCAGACACCUACGGGUGGCAGCAGUAGGGAAUAUUGCACAAUGGGCGAAAGCCUGAUGCAGCAACGCCGCGUGCACGAUGAAGGCCUUCGGGUCGUAAAGUGCUUUUCGGGGAGAUGAGGAAGGACAGUAUCCCCGGAAUAAGGAUCGGCUAACUACGUGCCAGCAGCCGCGGUAAAACGUAGGAUCCGAGCGUUAUCCGAAUUUACUGGGCGUAAAGCGCGUGCAGGCGGUUCGGUAAGUUGGAUGUGAAAUCUCCCGGCUCAACUGGGAGAGGUCGUUCAAUACUGUCGGACUCGAGGAUGGUAGAGGGAGGUGGAAUUCCCGGUGUAGUGGUGAAAUGCGUAGAUAUCGGGAGGAACACCAGUGGCGAAGGCGGCCUCCUGGGCCAUUCCUGACGCUAAGACGCGAAAGCUAGGGUAGCAAACGGGAUUAGAAACCCCGGUAGUCCUAGCCGUAAACGAUGUGGACUGGGCGUUGGUGGGGUAAAAUCCAUCAGUGCCGUAGCUAACGCGGUAAGUCCACCGCCUGGGGAUUACGACCGCAAGGUUAAAACUCAAAGGAAUUGACGG